UACAGAGACUGCAAGCGUUGUUCGGAUUCAUUGGGCGUAAAGGGUGCGCAGGCGGUCCGUUAAGUCGGGUGUGAAAUCUCACAGCCUAACUGUGAUAGGUCAUUCGAAACUGGCGGACUCGAGGACUGGAGAGGAGACGUGGAAUGGUCGGUGUAGCGGUGAAAUGCGUAGAGAUCGACCAGAACACCGGUGGCGAAGGCGGGUCUCUGGACAGUUCCUGACGCUCAGGCACGAAAGCCAGGGGAGCAAACGGG
rnacentral:rRNA from 1 species